UCUCAAUCCAGGCGAUACUGUUUCCAAUGAAUUUGACUCAGAUGUGGAAGUUGGAGAUGUGCAGAAGGUUAAAUUUCUUUGGAACAACAAUGUGAUCAACCUAACUCUACCCAAAGUAGGAGCAUCCAAGAUUACAGUGGAAAGAAAUGAUGGAGCACUGUUCAACUUCUGUAGCGAAGAAACCGUGAAGGAAGAUGUUCUGCUCACUCUCACCAGGUGUUAGGAGCUGCUGACAUGUGACCUUUGAAUCUUAUUGCUAAUAAAAUCUACUGGUGAAGCAAU